rnacentral:lncRNA from 1 species
CAACGCCAAGGAACGACUAUAUUUUCUAAAUAAAAACAUGAUUUAUGAGUAUAUAACUUUUUAAUAGCCUUGGCGAACUCAGUUUGGGAUAGCCCUCGGCCAAGGUAUCCUUGAUAACUGAGUAUGAGAAUAAUUUUUGGCAUGAGCCAAGUAUUAAGAAAUUCAUAAGCCAUGUUAAUUACUCGAUUUAUAUGAAUUAAUUUUAUUUGGUUGAAACAAACUGAAAGGUGAUGAAUUUCAGUAUGUUAAAUUGUUUUAUCUAUCUCCAUUUACUCGACUUUAGAUGGUUUAGUUGGUAUCUGUUUACUCACUGGGAUUAUAUAAUCUCACCAUUCUCCUUUCCACCCAUUUCAGGCUCAGAAUAGACUGUAGAUAGCUGAUCGCAUCAAGGACUACCAUUGGAAUUGCAUUUUCUAAACUGUAGGUUCACAGUCCUCUUUACUUUUGGAUAUUCGAGGGUCCCACUUGUU